rnacentral:tRNA from 1 species
UAUGUUUUGGUGUUUAGCACGUGAAGUUUUGAUCUUUAAGGAGAUGGUGGAAUCCCAUAAUUCAUAA